UAACCAAAACAGUUUGACAUUGACCGUCGCGAGCGAUCGUCCGACCGUCGUGACGAUAUAUUUAAUCGCAGAAAGUUUCUUCAACAUUACUAAUUAAACUCGGAAUGAUUAAAUCGCAACAAUUAUCUAGCAGCAGAAAUUGAGUGUGUAAAAAUUGUAUCGCGAAGUGAAGGUCUAAACAAAAAGAAACACUACGUAUAACAUUAAUAUGCCAUCGCGCAAUGAUACUUCCGAGUAUAUUAAAUACGGAGACAUUUUAAAAACUUACAAAAGUAAAAAAAUCUCCUCUCUUGCUUAUAUUAAACAGACGUGGCUUUUAAGUAAUGGCAUUUGUGCCAACGCGAAAGCGAGAUGAAAGAAUAUUUCUUUGUCCGAAUAAAUUAAUCGUCUCGAGAGCCGCGGUUUAUAUUAUAUGAUGAAGGCACAAGAGGCUGGUAUUGCAGCUCAUUCCAGACAGAAUGAACCACAAUAUUACAUCGCGAAACGCAAUGUUGGGAAGGGUUAAAAUUCCAACGCACCACGACAGCAAAUUAGAAUCUUAUUGUCGACGAAUACGAGACGGUGGUUUCAUUAGUUCGAAAAAUUACAGCAAACAGCGAGCCUUCUUAAAUCCCCACUGUCAAAUUCGAAGCGUCAGAAAUAAGCUGCAAAAUAUUUGUCGCGACAAAUUACCUGCAAGCAGGAGCACUUUCGAUUGAUUCCAUUUCAAGCUGGUUUUCCACGAUCUCUGCGACAAAGAGACAAGGGAGGGUAGAGGGGCUCUCGUUACCGGUGCGUUUUUCGCAUCGACUUGCAAAUUGCAUUAGGACAUCGAUGCGCUCACGAGGAGAGUAAUCCGCCGUAUUACUUUCCGUGCCGUGCAUCCCUUAAACGGCGGCGGGUUAUAUUGGCCGCGAACGAAUCGAUUUUCCGCUUCCGCUCGCUAUCAGUGUCACCCAGGCAAGGGAGCUGAGUGCAUCCACGGACGAUAUUAACCUUAGCCGCGUUUUAUCGGAAAGUAUCGACGCCCGCCAGCCGUUCCUGGUAAUAGGAACUGAUACCGAUGUAAUUAAUCGCCGCCGGCAACUGCUCCACGCACCGGGAAACGCCGAAAUCCAGUCUCGCGUUUCAACGCACGACGAUGCACUACGAACAUAUUGUAUCGACGUGGACUCAUUAUCGGGCUCAUCGCAGACAAGAUCGACAUUAUUAUUACCGUUUAACGAUCGCGUACUACUACCGUUGCAGCACAAUGACGGCAUCAAAUCCCACUUGAGCCGUUUUGCUUCUCCCUUAAGCUGCCAUAACUACGUUCCAUCUGAGUAUGAUGCAGUAUAACGCGCCGAAUUAAUAAUACUCAGCGCUUAAGUGUUAAAUGAAUUUAAGUCCCGCAGAGGUCAAGCUAAUAUCUACGAUAAAUUCGGAUACAAGACGCUUAAAAGAAAUGGAAAAAUAAUAGAAUCUUUAUUAUAUAUCAGUGACCCUCUCCGGGCAGAUAAUUCCUCGCGAGAGAUUUAUAAGAUAAGUAUAGCUCUCGCUUUCAUCACGGCAUUGUCUCUCUCAGAUCUAUUAUUACUUAGCAAUAUUUCUAUUUACAAAUCUUAAUGUCGGUGCAAUAAUUAAAUUGCGUUUUACAAAAAAUGUGGAAAUUAAAUAACUCGUAUAUUCUGAUAAAAAUAGCUUUCCCAAAAUACAGUUAUAAUCCACUUUGAGGCCCACGAUUAAGUAAUCAAAUUAUUUGGAUUGCUUGUAACCCUAAUUUUACGUUUAUUUUUUCAAAUUAAUUCUGUAUUAAAUAUAAAAUUUACAAUUAGCUAUUCUACUUCAAAAAUUUUUAAGUUAUACUAGUCCAAUCUCUCGAUUAGUUCUGUCGAUAUUCAGUUGCACAAAAAUAUUUUUUACUUAAAUAAGACGCUAACCAAAAUAUUAAGUUGUUUAACUACAAAAAACCAGUCAAAUUUUUUCUUACGGUAAGAUUACAACCAAUUGAAAUAAUUUCAUUACUUAGUCGUGAAUUUCAAAGUGAAUUAUAACCAUAUUUUGGGGAGAAACUAUUCUUCCCAGAACACGAAUAAUGCGUUUUUUCGUUGUUAUGAGAACGCAUAUUAUAAGCACGCAAGUCAAAUUAUUUAAUAUUAUUUGUCUCUUCAAAAAGAGUUUAAUAUAUUCAUCUUUAUGGUACCAAAUAUUCUAAUAUUGUAUCAAAAAUGCAUAAAUUUAAUUAAUUUUCAAAAUUUAUCUAUUGAUUCGUAUUAUUCCCGAGACAAAUUUCUAAACAAAGAACAAGGUUAUAGAGAAGUGUUUUAUAGUAUUUCUAAAUACAUAUCAUUAUGAUAAAAUAACUUGAAAAAUAAAUUUUAAAAACGCGAUAGCACUGUAUAACGCUACGAACUAGUGUGAUUUAACGUAAAGUUAGAUUAAAAGUACAUUACACUAGCGGUGCAAAUCAAUAUUUUUAUGCAAAAAAAAAAACAGUAUAGAAUUAAAACAAUCUACAUAAUAAUUUUUUUUUCUUAAAAAUUUAACUCAUAGCAUGUUGUUCCAUUAAAUGUAAUGUAUGUUUACUUUUUUAAAAAUUGUUAUACGUAUAUACAAAUGUAUAUUUCUAAUUAGUUUUUUGUACGGUUCCAUGGAAUAUAAUUGCAAUUAAAAAUUAACUAAUACAUAAAUAUAAACUCUUUGUUUUAUAUAUUACUAAGUAAACUACUAAUCGAUGCUUUUGUCUAUAUUCGCUCUAUGCAUUUAGUAUCGCUACUGGAAUUUCUGAUUUGUGAAAGGACUGAUAUUAAUUUGAACUAUCGGAACUUGCCUCAAUCAGGCAAGCUGAAAUUUGCUCUCGCUAAACAGACCUUCACUGCUACGCUGUUUACACCACAUUAUUUAUCUUGAGGUCAUAUUGUAAUAUUCCCAAACCAAUAUAACCACACGUCAGGUCCUUUAUACACGAAGUAGAUAUGAGAACACAAUAUAGAAAUACCAAUCAUUGAAGUAGCCAACGUAAGUCGAUAUUUUGUUCUUGCGAAGCUUACGCCCCGCGGUUUCCAUUUGAUCGAGUUGACCAUGCUUGCGGCUUAUGUAAAUUUGUAUGCGAUGGUCUCCAUCCGUCACACAGAAACUGGACAGUCGGAACAAGUUUACACGCGUCGAGCCAUUGAUACGCGCUGCCAUAUUACUCUCGCGAAGCUGAUACCAGGUCAUAUCAUUGAUAUCCAUACGCCACGCUUUACCUGUGUUAUGUAAAUUCGCGCGCGGUGGACUUUACCCAUGGUCGUCCACUGGACAGCCGGAGCGAGUUUACACGCGUUGUAUUGCGAGUUAGUAUGUAAAGUUAAGGCACGAGAUGCAUUACGGGGUUAAUCCGCGGUUAUACGCCGGGCCGAAGCUCACCGGGGGAGUUUCGCUGUCCAAUCGCUUUCGAGGCACCGCCACUCCGAUUUGGAGUUUUGGAGAGCAGACUGGGAAACCCCCGAGGCGAUGCAUGGGGAUUGCUAUUUCAGCACUUCCGCCGCUAAAGCGAUUGUACAUCUUCGAGCCAAACUUUUCACGCGGUCAUGUUCAAUCCAGUCAAAUCCGGUCACUCACCUACUUUCAAAUAUGCCUCCGGAGAGAACACACGCGCUAUUAAAGCAGCACCAUGGACAUAAUAUAAGCUGAAUAGCACAAUGAUGCUUUAUCCUUUUAGCCCUUCUGAAUAAACAUGUUUCGUAAUACACAAAUAUCUUUAAAUUUGAAUAUUGAAAACUGUAUCUUGAUAUACCCCCCUAAUUCCAAAAUUCUCUUUCCAAACAACUGUGUACAAUAAGCAUUUCAGUAUUCUUUUUAAUCCUAGACUGGCACUUACAUUUCCCUAAAAUUAAUACCACUCCGAGUAAAAAUUCAUUCACACGAUCGAAAAAACCUUUACACUUUUUUAAUGUUUACUUUAUGGGUUGCAAGAAAUGUUAAGUGGCUUAUAGUGUAAGAGCGACAGACUCGUAAGUGAUGUGUCGCGAGUUUGAACCCACAUUCCGUAUACAGAUGACGUAUAGGAACUGAUAUACUCCUACUAUUACUAUUACUUAUAGGUUGCAAGAUGGUAAAAUAUUUGAACACAAUUUUAAUAAUUCUAGAAAGUAGAGUUAAAAGAAGUAAGUAAGGCCCUUGUCUGCCUUUUUAGUGAUAAAUAUUCAAUUAAUAAAUAAUUUUGUCUGUCUUUAAGUAAAAUUAAUCGAUAAUUAUUACUUAAAUAAUUAUAAUAAUCAUACUGAUAUAUCUUUAUUUUCAUUGUCAGACUAAAAAAAUUUACAAGAUUCACUAAAAUUACUAAAAUAGCUUUUUUCAAGUUAUUUAGGGUUUUCUAUGGUUUACUCCAAAAUCUAUUUAAAAAUUCCAUAAGAUUUCCCGGAUUUUCCAAGAAUUUUAUUCAAAAUACUAGUAGAAAAAAUUAGAGAAUUUUUUAUGUAUAAUAGACUUAAAAUCAAUUUAUUUCAUUAUACUUUUUAAUGUUCCUUAAUCAUAUAAUCACAAAACUACUUAAACAUUUUUCUCAAAAAAAAAAAAAA